UGCAAGUCGAACGAACGAGCUUGCUCGUUAGUGGCGAACGGCUGAGUAACGCGUAGGUGACCUGCCCCGAAGUGGGGGAUAACUGCCCGAAAGGGUGGCUAAUACCGCAUAUGGCGACGCUUUCAUUGGCGUCAUCAAAGCCGCGAGGCGCUUCGGGAGGGGCCUGCGUCCGAUUAGCUCGUUGGUGGGGUAAUGGCUCACCAAGGCGACGAUCGGUAGGUGGUCUGAGAGGACGAUCACCCAGACUGGGACUGAGACACGGCCCAGACUCC
rnacentral:rRNA from 1 species